UAUACAUAUAUAUACAUAUAUAUACAUAAAUAUAUACAUAAAUAUAUAUAUACAUAUCUAUAUAUAUAUUUAUGUAUAUAUAUUUAUACAUAUGCGCACGCACGCAUGUAUGUAUGUAUGUAUAAUAUUAUUGAGUAUUUAUAAUCACAAAAACUUAGAAAAAUCUUUCUAUUAAAAAAAAAAAAGUAAACAAUAUGUUUUGUUGGCAUGGACAUAUAAAUAUGUAUAUGUACCUCCUCAUACUUAUAGAUAAUUAUUUGAUUAAUAGUGAAUAUUUUAUUUUACUGUUUUUAUUUCAAUUAAUGUUCUAUAUUUUUAUAUUUUUUUUUUAUUUUUUUUUUUUUUAUGUUAUAAACUGUAUAUUAGCCUUUAAAUGGGAAAGCGUAGUACAUUUCCUCUUUCUUGUUUUGAGAUUUUUAUUAAUAAUUUGAUGUAUAAAUAAUAACAUUGUAUUUUUAUAAUAAAUAACUCUAAUUAAUCUAACUGUAUUAUACUUAUAAAAUUUUCACUAUAUUAUAUGCAAGCUAACAGAGGAGCUGGCCAACGGAUGAACGGGUCAACGGGUGAACAGAUGAACAGGUGAACAGGUGAAAAAACGAAAAAGCGAAAAAGCGAAAAAGCGAAAAAGCGAAAAAGCGAAAAAACGAAAAAACGAAAAAACGAAAAAUCGAAAAGAACAAAAGCGACUUGCAAAUUAUUUUAAUUUAUACUUUUAACACUUAAUGUAUAUGUAUAUAUAUAUAUUUGUAUGAAGCUUCUAUAUAUAUAUAUCUAUAUCAUCGAAUGUAAUACAUAAAUAUUGACGCCUAUAUCUAACAUAAAAACGAGUAGGCGUACAUACAUGUGUUUACUUGUAUACAAAUAGCAUCAUUUACUUUAUUUUUGUGGAAAGUUGUUUUAUUUAUUCUUUUUUUCUUUUUAGUAACUGCGUGUUUUACAUCCAUAUGUUUAUAUGUUAGUUAUACAAUUAUUUAACUCAAGCUUCAUUUUAAUAUAUAUCAUGUGCAUUGUUUCACUUUAUAUGAUUAUUUAUUUAUUUAUUUAUUUAUUUAUUUACUUUACUUUACUUUACUUUUUUUUUUUUUUGUUUUUUUUUUUUUUUUUUUUUUUUUUUUUUUUNNNNNNNNNNNNNNNNNNNNNNNNNNNNNNNNNNNNNNNNNNNNNNNNNNNNNNNNNNNNNNNNNNNNNNNNNNNNNNNNNNNNNNNNNNNNNNNNNNNNUUUUUUUGUUUCAUCUUUGACUAUAUAGAUGGAUAGUGACAUUUUCUGGAAAUGCAAAAAUGACGCAAAGUCACAGGGUAUUUACAGGUUUAUAAGAAUGAACGAUUUGGAAAGCGUAAUAAAUUAUGAUGGCAUAUUACAAGAAAUAAAAUUAGAAAAUUGUGAAUUAUUAAAUUAUUUGAUUAGAGAACAUAAUUUAAAAGCGAUUUUAACUUAUAUUAUUGAGGAAGCAGUAGGAGAGAACUGCUCAUACGAUCGUACACAUAAAUUACCUUAUAAAUGUCAUCAAAUAAUAAUAAGCGAACAUAAGUUAAUAUCUGAUUCGAUUGUUUAUAAUGAAAAACUUAUGGACUAUUUUUGGAGUUUCUUACUAACAAAAAAACAACUAAAUGAAGUGCUAGCUGGAUAUUUUUGUAGAUGUGCUAUAGCUCUUUAUAACAAAAAUACAAGAGGAGUAGUCGAUUUUUUAAAAAAAAAAAGAGAAUUAUAUUUGAAAUCUUUUUUAUAUCAUUUUUACUCUAGAAAUAUAACUGAGCUAUUUAAAGUUUUAUUAUUCGUUAAAAUUCCAUAUCUAUGUAUAUUUGAUAAUAAAAAUAUUAUAUUUUAUAUUUUAAGUAAUUUAAAUGGUAACUUUUCAAAAAACAAUUAUAUAAUUUCUGACAGAGAGGAUAAUAUUACUUGUUUAAUAAGAGAUAUAUUUGUAAGAAAAGCAGAAAUAUAUUAUUUUAAUUAUUUUUUGAUUGAUUUAUCAUCUCAAAUGACUUUUUCAUAUUUAAUUAAAUGUGUCUUUUCUAGUUGCCCCUACACAAUAUCUGCUGCUAUAACUAUCAUAUCAGAUUUAUUACAUUAUACUGUGUUGUCAAAGACUUGUAACAACAUAGAUUUUUAUGAAUGUUUAGAAAUAUAUAAUAAAGAGGAAGAAUUAAGAGAAAAUGAAAAGAGAGUAGAAUUAAUGAUAUCACAACAAGAAAAAAAAAAUAAUAAAAAGAAAAUGUUGAAAAUGAAUAUGAAAAUUAAAACAAUAGAUGUUGUAAAAAAGAAAAAGAAAAAAAAAAAAAAAAAAAAAAAUAAUCCAAUUAAUGUAGAAGAUAAUAACAAUUUCUCUGUAAAUCAGCACUUAGCCGGGGGUGGGGACAUUAACAGUGAUGUAGACACGAACCAAACAAAUGGAGAUGACAAUAAUCACAUUGUUAACACUAGCGACACCUGUUAUAUAAAUGGCAAUAAUGAUAACAACAUUACAUGUGAUAAAAACAGUAUGAAUAUGCACAAAAAAGAUAAAAGAGAAAUACAAAAAAGUCAAUUAUGUAAAGAAGAGUAUGUAAAUAAAAAAAUAAAAGAAGAAAAAGAUGAUACAACUUCAACUGGAGAAUAUGAAAAUAUGUUAGAUAAACAACAACAAGCGAACACAAAAACGGAAAUAGAUGGUAUUACUAACACAACAUGUGAAAUAAAUAAAACAUCGUUACAUAUGAUCAAUUAUACAGGAGAAGGUUCAAAUAUGCAUGAGAUAAUAAAUAAUGAUAAUGUAGUUAGUAGUAGCUAUUCUGAUGGAGUGGGUAUUACUGAGUUUGCUAAUAAUGAAAAUGAAAAAGGUAGUAUAUUUUCCUCUAAUAGUAACAAUACCAAUAUGUUUAAUGGCACUGUAAAUCAAGAUUCUCAUAAUAUAUUGUUGAGUUCUAAUAGUAAUGAAGAAAAAAAUAACGUUCAUAUAACAUGCGGUAUUAGUAGCAAUGGUAACGCACAAAAAGAUAAUAAAAGUUUGACAAAUACUUUAGCUAGUUAUAAUAACAAUGUAUAUAACACGAAUGGUGAGAAUGUAAAUAACCAAAAAAGUGUACAAAGAGACCAUAUAAAAAUGGAAAACGAAAUUAAUAAUAAAGGUGCAACCAACAAUUCCAAUGUUUCUAGCUGUAAUGGGAAUAAGGUUGAAACCACUUAUAACAUAAAAAAUAAUUUUACUAAUAACAAAGUGGAUCAAAAUGGUGAAUGUAACAGUAGUAACGAUAAUGAUAACGAUAACGGCAACAGGAUAAAACAUUUGGAAGAAAUUAAUUUGGAUCAUGUUUUAAAUAGAAUGAAAAAAAUAGCUAGUAGUAAAAAAGUUUAUAUGAAAAAAGAAGACAUACAAAGUGAUGAUAAUGAGCAUGUGAAGGAUAUGGAGGAAGAAGAUGAUGGGGAGGAGGAAGAGGAGGAGGACGACGACGACGACGACGACGACGACGAUGACGAAGAAGAAAAAGAAGAUGGUGAUGAUGAUGAUGAUGAUGAAGAUGGGAACGAAGAAGAAAACAUUAAUAAGGACUACACUAAUAGCUAUAACAACAUCGAAGACAAUGAAAAGGACGAAAAAAAACGUAAUAAAGACAAAUACAAUGGAAAAGAUAACUACGGUAACAAAUGCAGAGAUUAUCUGUUCGAUCUACAUGCUAAUAACUGCUCAUCAAUUCUGUUAAACGAAAGUUCAGACAACAAAACUUUUAAUUUAUUUUAUAAAGAGGAAGAUAAUACAAACAUCCCUUUAAAUAAAUGGAUUGAAUGCUUAGAAAAUUGUACUUUUGUUGACAUUUGUUUUUUUAAUUAUAUAAAAGAUAUUAUGAAAUUAUACAUUCGUAAUAUUAAUAAAAAUAAAGAAAAAAAUAUAUUAGGAUUUACAACAUUAGAAAUUAUACAAUUAAUUAAAACUUUAAUUAAAACAAAAUCUAAAAACAUACUUGCUGAAAUUAUUGAUGAAGGAUUUUUUGAUAUAUCUAUUGACAUUUUUUUUAAAUAUAAAUGGAACAAUUUAUUACACAUAUCUGUAUGUGAUUUAUUACAAACCAUUAUUUUUAAAGAAAAUGAAUAUUCAUAUUUAUUAUAUUAUAUAUUGGCAUUAACAACAUUCUUACCAAAAUGUUUACGAUAUUUUGACGCUGUAAGACGAUGUAGAAAUAUAAAAAAUAAAAAAAAAAAAAAAAAAUUACAAAGCUUAAUCGACUGUGGUUAUAAAGCACAUCUUUUACAUAUAUGUCAAAUUUUGAGUAAUAAAUCAUUAGAAAUUAAAUGGCUUUCCAAUUUUUUAGUUACAGUUUCAGGAUGGAAUGAUAUAAUUAUUGAUGAGCUUAAUCAUUACUCAUUAUAUUUUAACGAUCAAAAUUAUAUUGAUGAACAAAAAGCGGAAGAAGAAGCAGAGCAUAAUGAGUUUAUAAGAAACGUCAUGUGUGC
rnacentral:lncRNA from 1 species